rnacentral:rRNA from 1 species
UUUUAGAUAAGUUCUGCUCAAUGAAUACACUAUUAAAUAGCUGCAGUAAAUUAACUGUACUAAGGUAGCAUAAUAAAUUGCUUUUUAAUUUAAAGCUUGAAUGAAAGAAAAUAUGUGAAAUAAACUUUUUUAACUAAAAUAGUACAAAUUAAUAUUUAAGUGAAAAAUCUUAAAUUAAGACAAAAGACAAGAAGACCCUUUAGAACUUUACAAAUUAGCUCAUCCAAAAUGAAAUUUUUUGUUAAAUUGGGGAGAUUUUUAAAUAAAUAAAUCUUUAAAUAUAAUAAAAUGAAUUAAUUCAAAUUAUAUUAUCCAUAUAUGAAAUAAAUCAAGUUACCUAAGGGAUAACAGCGUAAAAUUUUUGAGAAGAUCUUAUUCACAAAAUAAAUUACGACCUCGAUGUUGGAUUAAGAA